rnacentral:rRNA from 1 species
CCUACGGGAGGCUGCAGUGAGGAAUAUUGGUCAAUGGACGAGAGUCUGAACCAGCCAAGUAGCGUGAAGGAUGACUGCCCUAUGGGUUGUAAACUUCUUUUAUAAAGGAAUAAAACGAGGCACGUGUGCCUUUUUGCAUGUACUUUAUGAAUAAGGAUCGGCUAACUCCGUGCCAGCAGCCGCGGUAAUACGGAGGAUCCGAGCGUUAUCCGGAUUUAUUGAGUUUAAAGGGAGCGUAGAUGGGUUGUUAAGUCAGUUGUGAAAGUUUGCGGCUCAACCGUAAAAUUGCAAUUGAUACUGGCAGCCUUGAGUACAGUUGAGGUAGGCGGAAUUCGUGGUGUAGCGGUGAAAUGCUUAGAUAUCACACAGAACACCGAUUGCGAAGGCAGCUUGCUAGGCCGGAUCUGACACUGAUGCACGAAAGCGUGGGGAUCGAACAGGAUUAGAUACCCGGGUAGUC